CCCUGCCUCUAUAGCAGGGGAAGGGAACACCUGGUCCACGGGCCAUAUAAGGCCAGUGAAAUCCUUUGGUCUGGCCCUGCCAAGGCAUUAGGAGUGAGUUAAUUAAAUGUUUGACCAAAUAUAGCAGGCUUAUGAUGAAGUUGAUAAUUUUGUAUGGCCUGUGAAUGAUGUUAUAAAUAUCCAAAAGGCCAUUGGCAGAAACAAGGU